UACGUAGGGCGCGAGCGUUGUCCGGAAUUAUUGGGCGUAAAGGGCUCGUAGGCGGUUUGUCGCGUCGGGAGUGAAAACUCAGGGCUUAACCCUGAGCCUGCUUCCGAUACGGGCAGACUAGAGGUAUGCAGGGGAGAACGGAAUUCCUGGUGUAGCGGUGAAAUGCGCAGAUAUCAGGAGGAACACCGGUGGCGAAGGCGGGUCUCUGGGCAGUAACUGACGCUGAGGAGCGAAAGCGUGGGGAGCGAACAGG
rnacentral:rRNA from 1 species